AUGGCUGUUAUCAAGAAAUCAAAAAAAACAACUGCAUGUGAGAGUAACUUGGGAGAUUUUUACAGCUCAGGUCAACCCAAUAUCUGUGGCCAACACUCAUUAAUUG
rnacentral:snoRNA from 1 species